rnacentral:rRNA from 1 species
AAUGAACGCUGGCGGCGUGGUUAAGACAUGCAAGUCGAACGGUUUUUCAGGUGUAGCAAUACAUUUGAAGAGCAGUGGGCGAACGGGUGCGUAACACAUGAACAAUCUACCUUUUAGUGUGGAAUAGCUCGGCGAAAGCCGGAUUAAUACCGCAUGUGGUUGCCUCUCGCAUGAGAGACGUACUAAGUCAGGACGCAAGGCCUGACGCUAUUAGAGGAGUUCGCGGCCUAUCAGCUAGUUGGCGAGGUAACGGCUCACCAAGGC